AAGUCGUAACAAGGUUUCCGUAGGUGAACCUGCGGAAGGAUCAUUAAUGAAGUGAAAUUGUCUUACCUUCGGUGCUGGCUCUUCUUACUUGUAAAAGAGGAUGAGAGCAUGUGCACGUUGGAGGACAUAUAUCCAAUCCCCACUUGUGAACCCUUGCCUUUGCUGGCUUCGGCUGGUAGAGGAUUUUACACAAACACGAAUGUAAUGAAAUAAUGUUGUGCUGAGCACUUAUAAUACAACUUUCAACAACGGAUCUCUUGGCUCUCGCAUCGAUGAAGAACGCAGCGAAAUGCGAUAAGUAAUGUGAAUUGCAGAAUUCAGUGAAUCAUCGAAUCUUUGAACGCACCUUGCACCCUUUGGUAUUCCAAAGGGUAUGCUCGUUUGAGUGUCAUUAUACUCUCACACUCUCUGAUUCGUGAUUAGAGAGCGGUGGACUUGGAUGUUGCCUGGUACUUGCUGUCAGGCUCAUCUUAAAUGACUUAGUACGACUCCUAGUUAAACAUAGUACGGCGUUAUAACUAAACCCCCGCUGUUUUUUUGUCUGAUUAGGAGCUCUGUUGCUUCGAACCGUCUUCGGACAAUUCUGAUAACUUGACCUCAAAUCGAGUAGGAUUACCCGCUGAACUUAAGCAUAUCAAUAAGCGGAGGAAAGAACUAACAAGGAUUCCCCUAGUAACGGCGAGUGAAGAGGGAAAAGCUCAAAUUUUGAAUCUGGCGUCUUUGGCGUCCGAGUUGUAAUCUAGAGAAGUGUUUUCCGUGGCGGACCGUGCACAAGUCUCCUGGAAUGGAGCGUCAUAGAGGGUGAGAAUCCCGUAUAUGGCAUGGACUACCGUUACUCUGUGAUACACUCUCAACGAGUCGAGUUGUUUGGGAAUGCAGCUCUAAAUGGGUGGUAAAUGCCAUCUAAAGCUAAAUAUUGGCGAGAGACCGAUAGCGAACAAGUACCGUGAGGGAAAGAUGAAAAGCACUUUGGAAAGAGAGUGAAAGAGUACGUGAAAUUGUUGAAAGGGAAACGCUUGAAGUCAGGCGCGCCCUCGGAGACUCAGCCUAGCUUCUGCUUGGUUUACUUCGCCUUGGGUGGGUCAACAUCAGUGUCGGUCAGAGGGGAAAGACUUGGGGAAGGUAGCAGCAUUUAUGCUGUGUUAUAGCCUCUUGUUGUAUACUUUGACUGGAACUGAGGACCGCAGCGCGCCUUUACGGCCGGGGCUUGCCCACGUACGCGCUUAGGAUGUUGGCAAAAUGGCUUUAAGCGACC
rnacentral:rRNA from 1 species